UACGACAAAGGCAAACCCUGGGCAAUCAGGGGACGCAAAGGAAAGGGUCUUUUGACGGAUAUGAGGUAAAGGCGCGUGGCAACGCGCCUCUCCCCCCCGCGAAAAAGAUAGCCUUACUGCCGAAG
rnacentral:ncRNA from 1 species